GUGCAAAGAUCAAACACUUGGGCAAUUUGACAUUUCUAAGAUUGGACACAGUUUGAAUUUCCACAAUUUCUAUGGGAAUGCAAUUCACCCUCUCUCGCUUUAUUAAAAACCACCUUCUUGGCCCCAGCUUAUGUCUUUAUAAUAAGUGCUUCCAUUAUGUUUCAUAUCUCAUUUUAGGAAAUAGAAAUCUACCUCUUGUUCUAAAAGCCAUGGUACAGGGAAUCUGGAAGAUACCAUAGAGCUGAAGGACAGCUCAGAGUUACCAAGAUUGGAAACCAUGAUAUUCCCGCUGUUACAAGAAUGAGUACAUGGAAUAAUAAUUAGGAUAAUUCACAUUUAUAUAGCAUUUUAAAUCAUUUUCCUCAAAAUAAUCUGUGAGGUCUCUCCAGUCUGGCUUCUGAUUUCAUUAUUCAGCCAAAACAGAUAUCUCCAAAGUUAUUAAAGGACACCACUUUCUCCUGGUUCUCUUCCUACCCAUCUCACUACUCCUCAGUCCUCUUUGCUGGAUCUUCAUAUAGGUUCUAUCUUCUAAAGUUCUAAUGAUCACAUCAUGUUCUCUAAGGCAGUGUUUAACAUCAGAUGUAGAGAUCAUCAAGAGAGAGGCUAAUCCAUCUGGGAAAUCAAUCAAGCAUAAAGUCAGAGGUUUUUGAGUUUGACCUCAAUGAAGAAGCAUUUCUAUGAAUGACAAAAUGAUAAAUCUAAAAGAAAGCCUCCAAAUCCCAACUCACACACUGUUGCCUACAUGUCACAUUGAAAGAAAAUAACAAAAACAAAAAUAGAGUCAAGAGAUGGAACAUCUUAUCCAAAGAACAGCAAGGAAGCCAAUAUCACUGGAUCACAGAAUACAUGAGGUUGUGUCUGAAGAACAACAAAGUAAGGAUGAAAAAAUUGUUUCAUUUUAUGCUAACCCUUCAAAUGCUUCAAAAUAGUGUGAUGACUGAUGGGAUUCCAUUCUAUUCCAUUUGGUUCUAUUCAAGUUUGCCAGUAGGACAUGCUGACAUAUCAACUGUCCGUUUCGUGUGUGAGGCCAGACGAAUCCCAGUGGCUGUCUGGACAGGGGAAUGAAUUAGAAGAAAUGUGUUCUUAUCCAGCUGCCUCUUCUCAUUCCACUGGUCCAUAGAGAGGUUUACAGAUGAGCUUUAAUGAUCUUCGAUGAGUAGAGAAAUUUGUGAUACCCUGAAAUCACUCCUGCUCCCAUCCCUUCCCACUGCUGAUCCUUCCUCAUCACAAUAUGUGAUCACCCCUGGGCUUUCGGAGGCUGGGAUUUCACUGGUGCAUCUGCAUUCUUUUGGUAUAUGGCUCCACAGUGAAAUAAAAAUCAUUCUGCCAUGU